AACUAUGUGCCAGCAGCUGCGGUAAUACAUAGGUCGCGAGCGUUAUUCGGAUUUAUUGGGCGUAAAGCAAGCGCAGGCGGAUGGAUAAGUUCUGUGUGAAAAGCAGCUGCUCAACAGCUGUUUGCGCCGAAUACUAUACAUCUAGAAUACGGUAGGAAGUUUUGGAAUUGAAUAUGGAGCGGUGGAAUGUGUAGAUAUAUUCAAGAACACCAGAGGCGAAGGCGAAAACUUAGGCCGCUAUUGACGCUUAGGCUUGAAAGUGUGGGGAGCAAAUGGGAUUAGAUACCCCAGUAGUCCACACCGUAAACGAUGGGUAUUAAAUGUUGGGGCUGGUGCCUCAGCGUUGUAGCUUACGUGUUAAAUACCCCGCCUGGGUAGUACAUAUGCAAAUAUGAAACUCAAAGGAAUUGACGGGGACCUGAACAAGUGGUGGAACAUGUUGCUUAAUUCGAUAAUACACGAAAAACCUUACCAAGAUUUGACAUCCCUCGCGAAGCUUUAGAGAUAAAGUGAAGGUUAUCGAGGUGACAGGUGGUGCAUGGUUGUCGUCAGCUCGUGUCAUGAGAUGUUGGGUUAAGUCCCGCAACGAGCGCAACCCUACUCUCUAGUUGUUUGUUUAGAGAGACUGAACAGUAAUGUAUAGGAAGGUCGGGAUCACGUCAAAUCAUCAUGCCCCUUAUGUCUUGGGCCGCAAACGUGUUACAAUGGCGAGCACAGCGUGUCGCAAAUCAGCGAUGGUAAGCUAAUCACUAAAAACUCGUCUCAGUCCGGAUAAAAGGCUGCAAUUCGCCUUUUUGAAGUUGGAAUCACUAGUAAUCCCGUGUCAGCUAUAUCGGGGUGAAUACGUUCCCAGGUCUUGUACAC
rnacentral:rRNA from 1 species